CGCGUAGGCGGUCUGUUAAGUCAGAUGUGAAAGCCCUGGGCUUAACCUGGGAACUGCAUUUGAUACUGGCGGACUAGAGUAUGGUAGAGGGAAGUGGAAUUCCGGGUGUAGCGGUGAAAUGCGUAGAUAUCCGGAAGAACAUCAGUGGCGAAGGCGGCUUCCUGGACCAAUACUGACGCUGAGGUGCGAAAGCGUGGGGAGCAAACA
rnacentral:rRNA from 1 species